AACCCUUAGAAACCAUCAAAACCUUGAAAUCUGCUCUGAAUACACUCACAUUCCAUGGACACUGACAGCACAGGACAAUGAUCAGGAACACAGACUCUGAUGCCCAGCUGACUGGGGUCCAUCCUGGCUCCAAUAUCCGUCCAUCUGCCAACUUUAUAAUCUUGGGGACACUCAAGUAACUUUUUGUUACGCACAUAGGUCUGCAACAAUCACUGUGGUCAGAAGGAUGUGAUAAACGGAUUGGCUCAAACCAGCACGGACCACAUAUUCUACAACAGAUGUGUGACGGACUCAGCUCUGCACUUACGCACCUCCAAGCCUUGAUUAUCAGAUCAUGUCCUUCUUCCCUAAUGUUUAAUUUCUC
rnacentral:lncRNA from 1 species